CGACGCGGGAAGACGGACGAGUUGGGGAUGGAGGUAAGCAUUCUGUGACUGCAAGGGGAGAGGCUGGGUGUCCUAGUGUUUGCAAGCCUUAAGAUUUGUGGCAGAGUUAUUUAAAUGGCCAGACGACAUACACACAGCUUUCUUAAUAUACAUUCAAGACCAAGUUUCCUCUGUCAUCAAGCAAAACCUGUUUCAUCAACCGAGUGACUGCAGUAUAGGGUCAUCCACCAAUAUCUCUCCUUCAUCAUCAUUGAUUGUUCUCUCUCUGGUCAUCACAGAAAUUCAAGACAAUUCAGACCGACAACAUUGAUGCGAAAAGAGAGUGCCUCCGUCAGGCGCUGUCGGUCUACCUGAACGAAGACCCGGAGAAAGUGGUGAAAGAACGCAUGGACUCUGAUGUUGAAGGGUUAAGCUGAAAUGGAGACUGUCUUCGGAGUAUUUGUGAUUCGCAGAGAAGGUGCAGAACGUGAUGAUGGUCCAGAGGAUGUGGGCAUCAUUUUGGAGGGGGUACAAGUUCUCAAUGAGCUGGGUAAUGUACCAGUAGCAGUUGCAAUGCCGUUCACUUUAGUUUAUGCACUCAAUCUCAGCUACCCCCCAGAGUGGAAAUACACUUCCGAAGCUCUGCAGAAACUCAUCAUGGGGCUUGAUGGACAGAGGUUGUCUAAGAAACUGCAGGUGCUGAAAACCCUACUUACGUGUUAAUAUUUUGUAGGGUAGCUGUUAGAGGUCUUCAAUAACGAAAGUAUCCCAGAGUCAUGUUGGGGAGGCAGGUGGGGAGUCAUACAGUCAAUAUUAGUGUUUUAAAAUGACAGUCUGUUUUUAUGUUUCAAUGCUCCCAGUUGUUGCAAAAAUGUGGAGAAGCCUUCUGUUCCGUGUUAAUCUAUUUCUGUGUUAACAAUGCUUCAAAUUGUUGCCUUGUUUGAAUUUGAAGGAUAUGUGUAUGAGUAUUUCAGACUAUUUUUUCCAUAAAAAAGAAAGAUGACAAUAGGUAAAACUGUUUCAUCUGAUUUUGAAUUUUAAAAUGAGACUGAAUUUUUAGCAUUGCAUAUUAUAGCAUUGAAAUACUCGUACUCGUCAUCUUCUGCUUCAUCCGGGACCGGGUCGUAAGGGCAGCAGACUCAGCAGAGACACUCAGACGUCCCUCUCCGCAGACAGCUCCUCCGGGGGGAGCCCAAGGCGUU